rnacentral:rRNA from 1 species
UACGGAGGGUGCAAGCGUUGCUCGGAAUCACUGGGCGUAAAGAGCUCGUAGGCGGCUUGUCACGUCGGUUGUGAAAGCCCGGGGCUUAACCCCGGGUCUGCAGUCGAUACGGGCAGGCUAGAGUUCGGUAGGGGAGAUCGGAAUUCCUGGUGUAGCGGUGAAAUGCGCAGAUAUCAGGAGGAACACCGGUGGCGAAGGCGGAUCUCUGGGCCGAUACUGACGCUGAGGAGCGAAAGCGUGGGGAGCGAACAGG